GCAGAACGCGAAGAACCUUACCUACUCUUGACAUCCAGAGAACUUAGCAGAGAUGCUUUGGUGCCUUCGGGAACUCUGAGACAGGUGCUGCAUGGCUGUCGUCAGCUCGUGUUGUGAAAUGUUGGGUUAAGUCCCGCAACGAGCGCAACCCUUAUCCUUUGUUGCCAGCGAUUCGGUCGGGAACUCAAAGGAGACUGCCAGUGAUAAACUGGAGGAAGGUGGGGAUGACGUCAAGUCAUCAUGGCCCUUACGAGUAGGGCUACACACGUGCUACAAUGGCGUAUACAAAGAGAAGCGACCUCGCGAGAGCAAGCGGACCUCAUAAAGUAUGUCGUAGUCCGGAUUGGAGUCUGCAACUCGACUCCAUGAAGUCGGAAUCGCUAGUAAUCGUGGAACAGAAUGCCACGGUGAAUACGUUCCCGGGUCUUGUACACACCG
rnacentral:rRNA from 1 species